UACGGGGGGUGCAAGCGUUAUCCGGAUUCACUGGGUUUAAAGGGUGCGUAGGAGGGCAGGUAAGUCAGUGGUGAAAUCCCCAAGCUUAACUUGGGAACUGCCGUUGAUACUAUCUGUCUUGAAUACCGUGGAGGUGAGCGGAAUAUGUCAUGUAGCGGUGAAAUGCUUAGAUAUGACAUAGAACACCAAUUGCGAAGGCAGCUCGCUACACGAAUAUUGACUCUGAGGCACGAAAGCGUGGGGAUCAAACAGG
rnacentral:rRNA from 1 species